UACGUAGGGGGCUAGCGUUGUCCGGAAUCAUUGGGCGUAAAGAGCGUGUAGGCGGUCCGGUAAGUCAGCUGUGAAAGCCCCGGGCUCAACCUGGGAACUGCGUCCGAUACUGGAUGGCUUGAAUCCGGAGAGGGAUGCAGAAUUCCAGGUGUAGCGGUGAAAUGCGUAGAUAUCUGGAGGAAUACCGGUGGCGAAGGCGGCAUCCUGGACCGGCAUUGACGCUGA
rnacentral:rRNA from 1 species